GGGAUCGGGACGUACAUUGGUCAUGGAGGAGCGCUUCCCGUCAUGGCAAGUGUCGACAAGCUGCUGGACGAGAUGAUAGCAUGGAAUCUUAGCACCCAUGUUAUGGAGGGCUAUGAGUUUCUUAUGCAAAACUAUCAAGCUGGGGAUAAGAUCUGCUUGUUUGGUUUCUCCCGAGGCGCAUACACUGCUCGUGCCCUCGCGGGAAUGAUUCACAAGGUUGGUCUGUUACCGCCGUGCAAUCACCAACAAGUACAUUUCGCCUACAAGAUGUUCGAGCGGGACGACAAUCUUGGCUGGAAGCAGUCGACCUCGUUCAAGAAGGCGUUUUCCAUCGACGUUGACAUCGACUUCAUCGGUGUAUGGGACACCGUGUC
rnacentral:misc_RNA from 1 species